rnacentral:rRNA from 1 species
GACGGAGGUGGCAAGCGUUAUUCGGAUUUAUUGGGCGUAAAGGGCGCGUAGGCGGUUUGGUAAGUCUGAUGUGAAAUCUCCAUCGCUCAACGAGGAAAUUGCAUCGGAUACUGCCAAUCUUGAGUAUGGAAGAGGUAAGUGGAAUUCCUGGUGUAGCGGUGGAAUGCGUAGAUAUCAGGAGGAACACCGGUGGCGAAGGCGGCUUACUGGUCCAUAACUGACGCUGAGGCGCGAAAGCGUGGGGAUCAAACAGG